rnacentral:rRNA from 1 species
UCCUACGGGAGGCAGCAGUGAGGAAUAUUGGUCAAUGGGCUUACGCCUGAACCAGCCAAGUCGCGUGAGGGAAGACUGCCCUAUGGGUUGUAAACCUCUUUUGUCAGGGAGCAACGCCGGCUACGUGUAGCCGGACUGAGAGUACCUGAAGAAAAAGCAUCGGCUAACUCCGUGCCAGCAGUCGCGGUAAUACGGAGGAUGCGAGCGUUAUCCGGAUUUAUUGGGUUUAAAGGGUGCGUAGGCGGAGUGUCAAGUCAGCGGUAAAAUUUCGGGGCUCAACCCCGUCGUGCCGUUGAAACUGACGC